UACGAAGGGAGCUAGCGUUGUUCGGAAUUACUGGGCGUAAAGGGCGCGUAGGCGGGUUUCCAAGUCGGGGGUGAAAUUCCAGGGCUCAACCCUGGGACGGCCUUCGAUACUGGCAGCCUGGAGAUCGGGAGAGGUGAGUGGAAUUCCGAGUGUAGAGGUGAAAUUCGUAGAUAUUCGGAGGAACACCAGAAGCGAAGGCGGCUCACUGGCCCGAGACUGACGCUGAGGCGCGAAAGCUAGGGGAGCAAACAGG
rnacentral:rRNA from 1 species